rnacentral:RNase_P_RNA from 1 species
AUUACAGGCUGGACUAUCGCUCCUUCUCACGAAGGGGAGGAAAGUCCGGACAGCGCAGAGCAUUGUACCGGUUAAGAGCCGGGUUCAUCCACCAGCAGCAAUGCUGGUAAAGAUGAAACAGCAAGUGCCACAGAAAAUGACCGCUCCGGUCCGCCGUAGCUUCCGCAACCGUAUGCCAUGCCAGGUUCUUUUGAGAACCCGGCAGGAGUGCCGUUGCUGACGCUACGUCGGCCGGAGUAAGGGUGAAAAAGUGAGGUAAGAGCUCACGGCUUUAUAUGGUAACAUAUAUUGCGGGUAAACCUUGCAUGCUGAAAUGCCACAUAUACCAUCGCCCGAGGGUGACUCGCCCGAUGAUGGAGGGUAGGCAGAUUGAGCCUUCGAAGUAAUUCGUUGGACAGAUAAAUGAUAGUCCCCGACAGAAUCCGGCUUACAGGCCUGUAAUAUUU